rnacentral:tRNA from 1 species
UGCCCGGUGGUGUAACGGUAGCACGACUGGCUCUGAACCAGUUAGUCUUGGUUCGAAUCCAGGCCGGGCAG